rnacentral:rRNA from 1 species
GACGAACGCUGGCGGCGUGCUUAACACAUGCAAGUCGAACGGAAAGGCCCUGCUUUUGUGGGGUGCUCGAGUGGCGAACGGGUGAGUAACACGUGAGUAACCUGCCCUUGACUUUGGGAUAACUUCAGGAAACUGGGGCUAAUACCGGAUAGGAACUCCUGCCGCAUGGUGGGGGUUGGAAAGUUUCGGCGGUUGGGGAUGGACUCGCGGCUUAUCAGCUUGUUGGUGGGGUAGUGGCUUACCAAGGCUUUGACGGGUAGCCGGCCUGAGAGGGUGACCGGCCACAUUGGGACUGAGAUACGGCCCAGACUCCUACGGGAGGCAGCAGUGGGGAAUAUUGCACAAUGGGCGGAAGCCUGAUGCAGCAACGCCGCGUGCGGGAUGACGGCCUUCGGGUUGUAAACCGCUUUCGCCUGUGACGAAGCGUGAGUGACGGUAAUGGGUAAAGAAGCACCGGCUAACUACGUG